GUACAUAUAUGUAGGUAUCUGCAUGUAUGUAGAAACCGCUCUCGAUUUUUGGCACCUGCGAGAUGCGCGCCCACGUUGUGUGCGAUUAUUCAAUUAUGUGUGUGCUGAUAUAGAAGCGGAACGACGGGGAGCAACCCUCGCCACCACAAGGCUAAUGCUCUUCCGUGAAUUUCCACGCAAUCAGCUAUUGGACUCGAUCCAUUAGCGGCUUGCAGAUAAGGGUACUGAUUUCACAAGUGCUUUACGCAUUUCAACGGACCCGGAUCGCCUUUAUGAAUGAAUCACAUCGGCGAAUGUCCAAGAAGUCCAAAAAUGUACAAAACAAAUUUUGGCAAUAAUACACAUUGAAGGAGGAACACUUCCAUGGAUGGAUAUCGGUCGGCAGGUUGAACCCACUACAUGAGACAGGAUACCACACACCCUGUGCAAGAUGCAAGUUCCCUUAACGUUCUGUGCGCCUGGUACACAUUGCAUAUAAAGGCAAUAAGGAAAACUGGAACUAAUACCAAAUGCUUCACGGUCUAGGACCAUCGACAACGCCAUUUCCAGAUGAAAGUGGGCUAUGAUCCUUAAGAAAACACCCAUCAUAACGGCUUACUCUGUUCUUGAACACACCACUAUUAUAUGACCUGUGGAGCCCAGCACCAGCUGUAAAUUCAACUCCUCACCAGACUGGAGGCAUUCUGAGUUCAAUACUAUAUGCAUUCAGGAACUGUUUCUACUAGCGUACGGUUUCUCAAUCAGACCGGGAAAACCAGUAGAAGCAAUAGGUCUCCCGGCUACGCCAUUUCCAAGUGGAAACGGACGGUUGCUAGUGCAUGUGCUUGAUGCAGCACUUUCAUGCGUGGACCAUUCUCCGAGCCGAAAAGAUUGACUUGAUUCAACAGCAGUUAAUGGACUGCAGCCUCACCGACAACAUGACCGCAGCCCCGGAUGACUGCAUCCAAAUUUUAAUCUGGAAUUUUUAAGUUUUUAAUU
rnacentral:sRNA from 1 species